GAUGAACGCUGGCGGCGUGCCUAAUACAUGCAAGUCGAGCGAACGGACGAGAAGCUUGCUUCUCUGAUGUUAGCGGCGGACGGGUGAGUAACACGUGGAUAGCCUACCUAUAAGACUGGGAUAACUUCGGGAAACCGGAGCUAAUACCGGAUAAUAUUUUGAACCGCAUGGUUCAAAAGUGAAAGACGGUCUUGCUGUCACUUAUAGAUGGAUCCGCGCUGCAUUAGCUAGUUGGUAAGGUAACGGCUUACCAAGGCAUCGAUGCAUAGCCGACCUGAGAGGGUGAUCGGCCACACUGGAACUGAGACACGGUCCAGACUCCUACGGGAGGCAGCAGUAGGGAAUCUUCCGCAAAGGGCGAAAGCCUGACGGAGCAACGCCGCGUGAGUGAUGAAGGUCUUCGGAUCGUAAAACUCUGUUAUUAGGGAAGAACAUAUGUGUAAGUAACUGUGCACAUCUUGACGGUACCUAAUCAGAAAGCCACGGCUAACUACGUG
rnacentral:rRNA from 1 species